GCUUGCUAGACGCUGACGAGCGGCGGACGGGUGAGUAAUGCAUAGGAAUCUGCCCGAUAGUGGGGGAUAACCUGGGGAAACCCAGGCUAAUACCGCAUACGUCCUACGGGAGAAAGGGGGCUUCGGCUCCCGCUAUUGGAUGAGCCUAUGUCGGAUUAGCUAGUUGGUAAGGUAAUGGCUUACCAAGGCAACGAUCCGUAGCUGGUCUGAGAGGAUGAUCAGCCACAUCGGGACUGAGACACGGCCCGAACUCCUACGGGAGGCAGCAGUGGGGAAUAUUGGACAAUGGGGGCAACCCUGAUCCAGCCAUGCCGCGUGUGUGAAGAAGGCCCUCGGGUUGUAAAGCACUUUCAGCGAGGAAGAACGCCUAUCGGUUAAUACCCGGUAGGAAAGACAUCACUCGCAGAAGAAGCACCGGCUAACUCCGUGCCAGCAGCCGCGGUAAUACGGAGGGUGCAAGCGUUAAUCGGAAUUACUGGGCGUAAAGCGCGCGUAGGUGGCUUGAUAAGCCGGUUGUGAAAGCCCCGGGCUCAACCUGGGAACGGCAUCCGGAACUGUCAGGCUAGAGUGCAGGAGAGGAAGGUAGAAUUCCCGGUGUAGCGGUGAAAUGCGUAGAGAUCGGGAGGAAUACCAGUGGCGAAGGCGGCCUUCUGGACUGACACUGACACUGAGGUGCGAAAGCGUGGGUAGCAAACAGGAUUAGAUACCCUGGUAGUCCACGCCGUAAACGAUGUCGACCAGCCGUUGGGUGCCUAGAGCACUUUGUGGCGAAGUUAACGCGAUAAGUCGACCGCCUGGGG
rnacentral:rRNA from 1 species